UGAAGCGUAUUUGCCGCGUAUCGCAUAACCGCGUAACCAAUCAGAAGCAAUCCGCUGUUUUAGUUUCGCGUUUUACGCCAAAAGCAGGUUCAAUUUGUGGUCUGUUUAUAUCAGCAAAAAUUUAAAAAAUAAUGAAUACAUCAAAUUCUCAACUGAAGUGCGGAUACUGUGGAUGGCUACUGAAUACUGCUUGUCAAAAUUUAUGGGAACAUCGAUGCUUUGCGAAUUAUGAUGAGAGAGAAAAUCUUAUUAAUGUUGAUCAAAACUCAAUUGUUACUA